rnacentral:rRNA from 1 species
CCUACGGGUGGCAGCAGUGAGGAAUAUUGGUCAAUGGACGAGAGUCUGAACCAGCCAAGUAGCGUGAAGGAUGACUGCCCUAUGUGUUGUAAACUUCUUUUAUCAAGGAAUAAAACGAGGCACGUGUGCCUUUUUGCAUGUACUUUAUGAAUAAGGAUCGGCUAACUCCGUGCCAGCAGCCGCGGUAAUACGGAGGAUCCGAGCGUUAUCCGGAUUUAUUGGGUUUAAAGGGAGCGGAGAUGGGUUGUUAAGUCAGUUGUGAAAGUUUGGGGCUCAACCGUAAGAUUGCAGUUGAGACUGGCAGUCUUGAGUACAGUUGAGGUAGGCGGAAUGCGUGGUGUAGCGGUGAAAUGCUUAGAUAUCGCGAAGAACCCCGAUUGCGAAGGCAGCUUACUAGACUCUCACUGACAUUGAUGCUCGAAAGUGUGGGUAUCAAACAGGAUUAGAUACCCCUGUAGUC